UACGGGGGGGGCAAGCGUUGUUCGGAAUUACUGGGCGUAAAGGGCUCGUAGGCGGCCAACUAAGUCAGACGUGAAAUCCCUCGGCUUAACCGGGGAACUGCGUCUGAUACUGGAUGGCUUGAGAUUGGGAGAGGGAUGCGGAAUUCCAGGUGUAGCGGUGAAAUGCGUAGAUAUCGUCUGGAACGCCAAAGGUGAAAACAGACUGCUGGGAGUGUGCUGACGCUGAGACACGAAAGCCAGGGGAGCAAACAGG
rnacentral:rRNA from 1 species